UACGUAGGGGGCAAGCGUUGUCCGGAAUUAUUGGGCGUAAAGAGCGUGUAGGCGGUCCGGUAAGUCGGCUGUGAAAGUCCAGGGCUCAACCCUGGGAUGCCGGUCGAUACUGCCGGACUAGAGUUCGGAAGAGGCGAGUGGAAUUCCCGGUGUAGCGGUGAAAUGCGCAGAUAUCGGGAGGAACACCUAUGGCGAAGGCAGCUCGCUGGGACGUUACUGACGCUGAGAACGCGAAAGCGUGGGGAGCAAACAGG
rnacentral:rRNA from 1 species